GGGAGUUAAAAUGGAUGAAUAUGGCUUUGUAAGUGCUAACCGUCGGCGAUAUUUGAAAAUAAAUGAGCAAUUUGUAUUAGCUAGCCAAGCAUCACAAGUAUUUUAUGCUAUCGAUCAUUCCAAUAAAGGUUGGCACAUAGUGCAAAAGGUUCAACCUCGUGAUGCUUUUGAUAAUUUGGAAAAAAAAUAUGAUGACUUAGAAGAGUUAGAUAACUCUACACAAGUGAAAAGAAAAAGAACUCAUUGAGGUUGACAUGAAUCCCUCAAAAACUCUGAAGUAUGAAAUGGGACAAACUUCUAAAAUUCC